AUCCUAUCCAGUUGGGUCAUUUGGUACGUGGAAAUUUAUCUCAUAUUUAAUUUAAUUCGAAGUAUUAUUUGUAUCAUGAUAGUAAAACUCCUGUUAGAGCCGGAGGUGUUAGCAAGGCUCUACACAUUCGUUCCAACUUUUUGUCUCGAGCAUCUAUUUUGUUGAUGAAGUGAGAUAAAGCAUCCAGUAAAUUCAAAGAUACAAAAGGUGGACAUACAUGGAGCAUUGUUUGGACUGGUCACAUUGGUUAUCCAGUCGUUGUUUAGCUGGCCUGUACUCCAACGUGACAUGCUGUGCAAAUUGAAGCUGCAGA